ACACAGUACAGUUUUGCACUAUUUAUGUCCAACGUUUGACCGUUUGUUUUAUUUGAAAACUUUUUCAAAUAAGAUGGACGGUCAAACAUUAGACAUGGAUUUCCACAGCUGCACUUAUU
rfam:Oryza glumipatula chromosome 2, whole genome shotgun sequence.